CUCACCUACUAGGCAGUUGUCCAUCUACAGGGCAUCUUCGUGCAAACUGAAAAGGAUGCCCUUUCUUCCAAAUGGCUGCAACCUUGAAGCAAAGCACACAGCUCAGUGAGUGGAGCAGGGCUGGAUUUCAUCCCUUGCUCAGCUGGGUGCUCCAGGGAGGAGAUUAUUACAGUAGAGUAGGUGGAAACAGAAGCUGUGGUAGCUGAAGAAGUUUGGUCCACCUGGCUUGUUAGGAAUGCUGCCUGACAGCCACACACGUAGGUUUAAUAAGAAAGCAGUAUUACAUUUUCUACUAGCACUCCAUCAUCAAGAUCUGACUCUUUGCAAAACCUGGGGGCCCCUGGAACUCUCCUCUCCGCGUUCUCACUGUCCACUUUGAUAGGCAUCUUCUGUUUCUCAAGGAUUCUGAGAAACAAAUACUUCUGUUAGUCUUACAAGAUACAGGGACAAAAAUUGAGGUUCAGGGCCGUUUAAGGAAGAGAGGUGGAAAAAGUGCUGAUAAAUAGCCCAGGCUUUCAGUUGGGAUGCUCAAAGAGCUAUUCCUGGGAGUACAGCCUCACAAAUACUGAAACCCAGACUCUAAUCUCCCCAAUAUCUGCAUGGAUUAAGGUGGAAUAUGCGUUUCAAGUAUCCCCUGGAAUUACAUGAGGCUUGGUCCCUUGUUAAAGGAAAGCAGGUUACGAAGAUAUGGGGUUGGAGACAGGAUGCCUUCUCAGUAGCCAUGAAGUUGACCCUUGCUUGACUCAUAAAGAAAACUGGACCUGAGACUGCUUCUUAAUCUCAAAGCCCUUGGGCUUCAUUCCCUGUUUGUCUGCUCAGAUGUCCCCUCUUACACCAAAUUUCUACCAAGCUACCUGUUCCUUGGAGAUUCUGCUCGGAGGCCUGGGUCUCUCACCACAGAUGUCAAUAUGUGUUGGGCUGGUAGCCACCUCUCCUGGGUUCUGCCGCUAAACGUACUCCAGGUGGCCCAGCCUUCUCAAAUAUCACAGUUGACAAAGAAGUGGAUGUCUCUAGAGUGCAUCUAGGACCAUCUUUCAGCAUCCUAUUGUUGGAAAUGAAGUUGGGGACACCUGCUGAGACACAAAAGCAGCUGAAGUCUACCCAACCAUGGAUCGUGGCAGCUCAUGCUCACAAGGGCAUUUGGGGUAGGAAUUGAGGCUCCAUUCCGUGCAUUGGGAAGGAUUCAGGUAGAGGCCCCUCACACAUGGACCUACAGGAGAAGGAUAAGAGGAGCUCCAUUUUGCCUUCAAGGCUCAAGUCUACCUGGUGGACGCCACUCUCCAAUGGGUGAUUUAAUUAAAGGGAUCACACACACCAUUUUGGUGAGGGAGAUGUGCUCUCUCCAGCAAAGAGGCAACAGAACUUCUCUGGUGCAAGGGCCGGGUCAUAUCCACCCAUACUCCUACUCAAUUACAAGAACAAACACAAUGAUCGUGCUGCCAGCAGUCAUAAUAAUAAAUAGCAAACCUGUAG
rnacentral:lncRNA from 1 species